rnacentral:rRNA from 1 species
UAACACAUGCAAGUCGAACGGAGAAUGCGGGACUGAAGCCUUCGGGCAGAAGACCUGUAUUCUUAGUGGCGGACGGGUGAGUAACACGUGAGCAACCUGCCUUCAAGAGGGGGAUAGCACCUGGAAACGGGUGGUAAUACCGCAUAAGACCACAGCGUCGCAUGGUGCAGAGGUCAAAGGAGCAAUCCGCUUGAAGAUGGGCUCGCGUCCGAUUAGAUAGUUGGUGAGGUAACGGCUCACCAAGUCGACGAUCGGUAGCCGGACUGAGAGGUUGAACGGCCACAUUGGGACUGAGACACGGCCCAGACUCCUACGGGAGGCAGCAGUGGGGGAUAUUGCACAAUGGGCGAAAGCCUGAUGCAGCGACGCCGCGUGAGGGAAGACGGCCUUCGGGUUGUAAACCUCUGUCAUUCGGGACGAAUUAGAUGACGGUACCGAAGAAGGAAGCUCCGGCUAACUACGUGCCAGCAGCCGCGGUAAUACGUAGGGAGCGAGCGUUGUCCGGAAUUACUGGGUGUAAAGGGAGCGUAGGCGGGAAAGCAAGUUGGAAGUGAAAUGCAUGGGCUUAACCCAUGAGCUGCUUUCAAAACUGUUUUUCUUGAGUGAAGUAGAGGCAGGCGGAAUUCCUAGUGUAGCGGUGAAAUGCGUAGAUAUUAGGAGGAACACCAGUGGCGAAGGCGGCCUGCUGGGCUUUAACUGACGCUGAGGCUCGAAAGCGUGGGUAGCAAACAGGAUUAGAUACCCUGGUAGUCCACGCUGUAAACGAUGAUUACUAGGUGUGGGGGAUUUCGGUCCUCCGUGCCGGAGCAAACGCAAUAAGUAAUC